AUUGAACGCUGGCGGCAGGCUUAACACAUGCAAGUCGAGCGAGCGGCGGACGGGUGAGUAAUGUCUGGGAAACUGCCUGAUGGAGGGGGAUAACUACUGGAAACGGUCGCUAAUACCGCAUACCAUCAGAUGUGCCCAGAUGGGAUUAGCUAGUAGGUGGGGUAAUGGCUCACCUAGGCGACUAUCCCUAGCUGGUCUGAGAGUAUGACCAGCCACACUGGAACUGAGACACGGUCCCGACUCAUACGGGAGGCAGCAGUGGGGAAUAUUGCACAAUGGGCGCAAGCCUGAUGCAGCCAUGCCGCGUGUGUGAAGAAGGCCUUAGGGUUGUAAAGUACUUUCAGCGGGGAGGCGUUACCCGCAGAAGAAGCACCGGCUAACUCCGUGCCAGCAGCCGCGGUAAUUC
rnacentral:rRNA from 1 species